GAUGAACGCUGGCGGCGUGCCUAAUACAUGCAAGUCGAGCGAACAGACGAGGAGCUUGCUCCUCUGACGUUAGCGGCGGACGGGUGAGUAACACGUGGAUAACCUACCUAUAAGACUGGGAUAACUUCGGGAAACCGGAGCUAAUACCGGAGAAUAUAUUGAACCGCAUGGUUCAAUAGUGAAAGACGGUUUUGCUGUCACUUAUAGAUGGAUCCGCGCCGCAUUAGCUAGUUGGUAAGGUAACGGCUUACCAAGGCAACGAUGCGUAGCCGACCUGAGAGGGUGAUCGGCCACACUGGAACUGGGACCCGGUCCAGACUCCUACGGGAGGCAGCAGUAGGGAAUCUUCCGCAAUGGGCGAAAGCCUGACGGAGCAACGCCGCGUGAGUGAUGAAGGUCUUCGGAUCGUAAAACUCUGUUAUUAGGGAAGAACAAAUGUGUAAGUAACUAUGCACGUCUUGACGGUACCUAAUCAGAAAGCCACGGCUAACUACGUG
rnacentral:rRNA from 1 species